CUGAGAGUACACCGGCUGAUGCAGAACCCGUGCUCUAUGUUGAGUCAGCUGAUUCAGAGCAGAGGCGCCUUCUGGGGAACCCCGUGCCAGCCCUGCAAGGACUGGCCACCUGGCUGGUUCCGCCCCGUUCCAGCUGCUUCGGAAGCCUUCUCUGAUCACCAACACUCAGAACGUGCUAUGCUGUGUGCUACACGCUGAGGAUGUGAGGAUAAAAGUCACAGUCCAGGGCCGAAAAGUGCUCCCAGCCUAGGGAGGAGGACAGUGUGGUCUUCCAGCGUUUGGCUCCAGCUUCAUCAACGGUGAUGGGAAAGCCCUACCCAUGCAUGAUGUAAGGCCUGCUUUCUCUUGGACCAGCCUGUUUCUGUUCUGUUCGCUUUGGAGGUGGUGGUGGGGUGGCCAUAGCAUGUUGUGUUUAUUCCCAAGGAAAAGAGCAGGCUCCCUCUCCAGCUACUUUUCGGUUCUUCAUUAUUUGUUAAUUCCAACUCUCCAGCCUCCAGCAAGGCAAAUUUACAGCCUAUUAAUAGUAGCUAUGUGGAAGCCUCAUAUUCCAAAUGUUUUCUGAUAAAAGACCAAGAACAUUCUUUGUGAAAAAAUAUUUCAGAAAUACUUGGCUGGUUUCUCCCUAUUCUGACUGCUCUCCUUUCUGUUCUCCCCUCUCCCCAGCCCAGUGCCAGAUGCUGCCUUAGCCUCGUCACUGCUCUGAAACGCUGCUUUUGCAUUUGACCCAGCAGUUGGCAGUGAACUCUAGGUGGUGGGAAUAUGGGUUUUAGUUACAGUACUCUUUAGACUCUUCUGUAGCUUUUUACAUCUAUCAGAAGAGAACAACCCUGAAAUAAAUUGCUUCUCGCCCUCUUUCCUGGGGCUGUGUUGGCGGUGCUGCUGCUAUCUCAGUUCCCAGGCUGUUCACAGGACCACACUGUUUCCUUUGUGCACAACGAGAUCUCCAUGUUCCAGGGCUGUGUUUCUCCCACCUAACCACUGAGGCUUGCCAACCAUUCUUGCAGGACCGGGAAGUGAACCACCGAUACUACAGAUUAAAAACAAAGUAAGGAGAUAUGGGGUCCCUGGGGACUGCUCUACUGAACUCUACCGUGGAUUACUUACUAGCUUUGCUCCAGUUCCCAGGGAGAAUAUCCAGGUUCUGGAGGCAGACAGACCCGACCACAGCCACGGGGGUAGUCUGGACCAAGGUGACACAUUGCUUGGCACU